rnacentral:lncRNA from 1 species
UGGCGGCUCUGGCUGCGGCAGGGCUCUAGGCCGAUCUUCCCUUCCUUCGGAUCGGUGUCGAAUGAAUCUGUCGAGCCGACCUCAUCUGAUGAGCUCCUCGAUCUCAUCUCGGAGCUGAAUACACUCCUCCGUGUCGUGGCCGUGGUCACGAUGAUAGAGGUAGAAUUUGUUUGGGUUGCGCUUCCCAGGGUGCGAGCGUAUCCUUUCCGACCUUGGCAGCUGCUCCCUAACCUCCAUCAGCACUUGAGUUUUUGAUAAGUUGAGAGGGGCGUAACUGUGGAAUCUUCCGGGAGGAGAGCUCCGUCGAACUCUGUGGUCUGGGCUUCUCUGCUUAUGAGCUCA